CACGUAGGGGGCAAGCGUUGUCCGGAUUUAUUGGGCGUAAAGAGCUCGUAGGCGGCUCAGUAAGUCAGGUGUGAAACCUCCAGGCUCAACCUGGAGACGCCACCUGAUACUGCUGUGGCUAGAGUCCGGUAGGGGAGCGUGGAAUUCCUGGUGUAGCGGUGAAAUGCGCAGAUAUCAGGAGGAACACCAGCGGCGAAGGCGGCGCUCUGGGCCGGAACUGACGCUGAGGAGCGAAAGCGUGGGGA
rnacentral:rRNA from 1 species